GGUGGGUAGUUUAACUGGAAAAACACAUACUGCAAAUAUGAGUUAUAGGUUCGAACCCUAUCCCAUGCCA
rnacentral:tRNA from 1 species